CCUCCUCACCUUUGCUGUCUUCUGUUGGCUAGAAGCAAGUCACUAGGUCCAGCCCACACUCUAGGGGAGGGGACUAACACAAGCAUUGUCCCACCCGCAUUUCUUUCUCUAGAGAUUGCCAGGUUUUGAAACAUAAAAGCUUCUAUGCAAUCCCCUUCCAGCCAUAGAGUGGCGCCAUUUGCACAAUAUGCUGUCCUUUGUGAUUGGUUUUUUUCACUUAGCACAAUGUUCUCAAGGUUCAUCCAUGUUCUAGUACGUAUCAGUAUUUCGUCUCUUUCAAUUAUUGAAUAAUACCAAAGCUAGGUCAUAACAGGUGACACAGUUUCCACUUGCCUCUCUUUUGGGAUGCUUACUCUUGGAACCCAGCUGCCAUGUUGUGAGGAACCCCAGGCCACACGGAGAAGCCAUGUGUAAGUGUCCUGUCAGACAGCUCCAGCCAAGGUCCCAGCCAAUAGCCAACAUUAACUACCAGACAUGAGAGUGAGGAAGUCUUUCAGAUGACUCUAGCCACCAUCGGAAUAAAACCACAUGAGAGAACCCAAGUGAUAACUGACUGGCUAAAACCAGUUAACCUCAAAAAUCAUGAGGAAUAGUAAUAAUUAAUGAUAGUUGUAUUAGUCUGUUCUUGCCCUGCCACAAAGAACCACUUGAGACUGGGAUGAAUGGAUGGACAGAUGGAUGAGGAGGUGGAAUAGGGUAACAGAGAGACAUCAAAUCAGUACUUACUAUGUGUUCAUAGUAGUCAUUGACACUAGACCAAGGGAUUUAUUGACAUUAUCUCUUUUUUAAUUCUCACAACAAUCUUAUGAAGCUGGUAUUCUUAUUCCCAUUUAUAGAAACAGUAACUUAGAUUUAGAGAGUUUCAAUAAUGUUCCUGAGGCUACACAGCUAGCAUGGAGUAGGUUCUCCUGACCUCAACGUCCAUGAUCAUGAUACGUCUGGUGUGGAGCACAGGUAAGAGUGUGAAACUGAGAGUGAACGUAAUAGAAAUUCUAGGCCUAAUUAACUCAGGCAGACCUUAACUAUUCAUGACACCAGCCUGACCUCUUUUCUGGAUGCCUCACUUCAAGAUUUUAUCUGGAGUACAUGUUGCUCUUUAUUCUCCUGCUGAGGACUACAGAAAAGCCUAUUUUUUGACAUAAGAACAAGGAACCUAAGAGAGAAGCCUCCCUCCUGUGCUGUCUUUUGUUCUGGAAAGGCAAUGACCAAAAUGGGAAGAGCUGUUUUGCUGGUAUUGUUGUUGUCAUGAUGGUGAUGGUGAUGGUGAUGGUGGAGAUGGCCAUGAUGAUGGUGAAUGGUAGUGAGUGGUGGUGGAAAUCGUAGUAGUGAUAGUAAUGAUGGCGAUAAUGGUGAUGGUGGUGAUCAUAGUGAUGGUGGUGGUGGUGAUGGUAGUGGUGAUGGCUAUGGUGGUGAUGGUGGUGUAGCAGUGGUGGUGGUGGUGGUAAUAGUGGUGGCGGUGGUGGAUAUGGUAGUGAUGAUGGUGUUAAUGAUUUUGGUCAUGAUGGUGGUGAUGAUAAUGGUGGUAGUGGUGAUGGUGAUAGUAGUGAUGGUGGUGGUGAUGGUAGUGAUGUUGGUGGCGGUAAUAAUGAUGGUGAUGGUAAUGAUUUUGGUCAUGUUGAUGGUGAUGGUAAUGGUGGUGGUGGUGAUGGUGAUACUAGUAAUAGUGGUAGUGCUGGUGGUGAUAGUAGUGAUGGAGGUAGUGGUGGUGAUGAUAGUGCUGGUGGUGGUGAUGAUGGUAGCUGUGGUAAUAAUGGUGGUGGCAAUGAUGGUGAUAGUAGUAAUGGUGGUGAUGGUGGUAGUGGUGUUAGUGGUGAUGAUGGAGGCAACAGUGGUGGUGAUUGUAGAUGUGGUCAUGGUGAUGGUGGUAGUGGUGUUAGCAGUGAUGGUGAUAGUGGUGAUGAUGGUGGUGGUAAUGAUGGUGGUGGUGGUGGAAAUGAUGGUGGUGUUGGUGGUAGGCAUGGUAG
rnacentral:lncRNA from 1 species